GGCUCAAUGGUCUAGUCGUAUGAUUCCUGCUUCGGGUUUCCCGGUUGUUUUAUGCGACCUCGUUAAUGCAGGAGGUCGCGGGUUCAAUUCCCGCUUGAGCCC